rnacentral:sRNA from 1 species
CCCUAGCCCUGAUAGCAGUGGAAAUCCUUUUUGUGUAGCGUAGCGGAACAAAAAGAUUGCAACGAAUAGCAGGUUCCCGG